AUUGAACGCUGGCGGCAGGCUUAACACAUGCAAGUCGAGCGAGCGGCGGACGGGUGAGUAAUGUCUGGGAAACGGCCUGAUGGAGGGGGAUAACUACUGGAAACGGUAGCCAAUACCGCAUACCAUCAGAUGAGCCCAGAUGGGAUUGGCUAGUAGGUGGGGUAUUGGCUCACCUAGGCGACGAUCCCUAGCUUGUCUGAGAGGAUGACCAGCGAGACUGGAACUGAGACCCGGUCCCGGCUCCUACGUGAGACAGCGUUGGGGAAGAUUGCGCAGUGGGCGCAACCCUGAUGCAGCCAUGCCGCGUGUGUGAUGAAGGCCUUCGGGUUGUAAAGCACUUUCAGCGAGGAGGCGUUACUCGCAGAAGAAGCACCGGCUAACUCCGUGCCAGCAGCCGCGGUAAUUC
rnacentral:rRNA from 1 species